rnacentral:lncRNA from 1 species
GUAGUAUUAUUGCACCGUUAGCUGCUUUGUUUAGGGGCUAAGUUGACGUGCAUGUUACCUACGCAGGCAUCAUCUCAUGUGCCUCUUCACGUUUUCCUCGGCCCCUACUUCGUUUAAAAGGGCAAUCGGCUGGGACAGGUGGUGUUCUCGUGCUUCCAAAUAUGCCGACGCGGCUAAAUUAAGCUGCCGUCCCCCCAGAUGGCUAGAGUAGCAAGUUGAUGUUCAAGUCNNNNN